rnacentral:rRNA from 1 species
UAGGGAAUCUUCCACAAUGGGCGCAAGCCUGACCGAGCAACGCCGCGUGAGUGAAGAAGGUCUUCGGAUCGUAAAACUCUGUUGUAAGAGAAGAACGUGUGUGAGAGUGGAAAGUUCACACAGUGACGGUAACUUACCAGAAAGGGACGGCUAACUACGUGCCAG